ensembl:lncRNA
CUUAAGGCAAGACACCCCAGUGUCUCAGCAGGUUCCACAGCCGAUCGCUGUGAACGAUGUUCCUGUGGGAUCUCCACACCCACAGCCUCUACAGAAGCGAGCAUGCAUCCCAGCGGCCUACUCCUCCAUCCUCUGCGUCUCCUGGGCUACGAGACUGCUGGAGCCUGAAGCUGCCCACCCUCCUGCACCUUUAACCCUCCAAACAACCACAAACACUGACUCACUGAAGACUCCUCAUGCCUUCCAACAAACCACAAACCUCCACACUUCGUGAUUUUAACAGCUUCUGAUCGAGGAAUUAAAGGAGCUGUGGAGCAGAAUCAAAGAAUUUCUGAGCACACUAGUUAGAGUGUCCAGUGGAGCCUGCGUGAGGAGCUGUGCAGAUGGAGAUUGUCCCAGUGCUGGAGGGGGUCUAUAUAAAAACUUUGGCCUGUCUUUCACAGCAUCAAUUCUCUCCACAUGGCCACAAAACUUGACUUUGCGUCUUGGACAAAGGAUUUCAUCUUGAAGAAAACAGACACACGGGUUUAGAACGACCUGACGCGUACCGCAGCGCUGCACUUCGGGUCAAUAACUCAAGCCUCGGGCCUCGCUCUGCAGGAAGGCCAGCGCACAUUACCUCCCUAUUACUCCCCCACUUACAAUUACCAUUAAUGACUUUCUCCCGCUGACAAGCGAUCUCUCACUCCUUCCGCAGUCUGCUGCACUGUGCUGUGGGGACUGUGGGAAAUCCCAGGUUCAUCAUGCUGGAAAAAGACUGGACCUACAGUAACAAUUCACUUGUUGGUCUCAGACUACAGUCUCACCUUUCAUAGACCAAGAGAAUAAUGUUAG